rnacentral:misc_RNA from 1 species
UGAAACUCUGGAUGGGCUUGAUGCCCUUGCUCAUCUAGCUAUCCUAGAAGAGGGAGAGACCCUUCCAGCAUCACCACAGGCCACAACUAAGCAUCCACGUCAUAGACCUGGGUGUACAUGCAUUGUCUGCAUCCAGCCCCCUAGUGGAAAAGGUCCUAAGCACAAGCAAUCAUGUGAUUGUAACGUCUGUAAAUCAGUAAAGCGUCGUUUCAAAACAUUGAUGAUGAAGCGUGAAAAAAAGUUAUCAGAGAAAGAAGCAGAAGCUACUUGUCAAAAGCUGCAGCCGCAAUCAGCUGGGCAAUUGCUUGAUGCUGAUGACAUUCAAGAACCUAUUGAUGAUGCAGUGCAUUCAAGCCCUCAGCAUGAAGAGCUGAACAUUGAAG